UUUUCUUUCAGUUUGUAUUUAAAAAUUCUGAUCUAACGUCUUUAAACCUCCCUCAGACACCGUAUUAGGCGGUGUUGUUGUGAUUUUUACACGGCUCCUCUACGCGGGGUGCGUCACUGCCUUCACCGUACCGGGGCUGUGUCGUCGGGUAAAAGAGUACCGUACCACACCUGACGGACAGUGCUGCCCGAUGUGCCCAGAAGGUAAAGCUGUUUAAAGAGACACCAGAGUCGGUGCAGCCCCUGUGAAAGGGGACUUUCACCAACUAACCAGUGGCCUGAAAAAAUGCUUCCUCCGAACUUCAUGUGACUCAGAUGCUCUCAAACGAAAGUGAAGUUCAACGAAUGAAGCCUGAACAACAACACUGUCUGUGGCAGUUUCUACCUCUUUUUUUUUUAUGCUUUUCUCACUAACAUUUGCUGGGAUGCCGACAAAAGUGUGGGUUUUCCCUUGUUACAAGAUGAAGGCUUUCCUAAUUUUUUGUCACUCUAAGACACUUUUAGCCAUGUAAUAAAGCAUUGGACAUAAGUCAGAACUUUAACAAAACGACUUUAAAAAAAUAUAUAUGUUGAGUCAGUUUUAGUAAAUAUACAUGAUUCUAUC
ensembl:lncRNA